rnacentral:rRNA from 1 species
AUUGAACGCUGGCGGCAGGCCUAACACAUGCAAGUCGAGCGGAUGAAGGGAGCUUGCUCCUGGAUUCAGCGGCGGACGGGUGAGUAAUGCCAGGAAUCUGCCUGGUAGUGGGGGAUAACGUCCGGAAACGGGCGCUAAUACCGCAUACGUCCUGAGGGAGAAAGUGGGGGAUCUUCGGACCUCACGCUAUCAGAUGAGCCUAGGUCGGAUUAGCUAGUUGGUGGGGUAAAGGCCUACCAAGGCGACGAUCCGUAACUGGUCUGAGAGGAUGAUCAGUCACACUGGAACUGAGACACGGUCCAGACUCCUACGGGAGGCAGCAGUGGGGAAUAUUGGACAAUGGGCGAAAGCCUGAUCCAGCCAUGCCGCGUGUGAAGAAGGUCUUCGGAUUGUAAAGCACUUUAAGUUGGGAGGAAGGGCAGUAAGUUAAUACCUUGCUGUUUUGACGUUACCAACAGAAUAAGCACCGGCUAACUUCGUG